rnacentral:rRNA from 1 species
UACGUAGGGUGCAAGCGUUAAUCGGAAUUACUGGGCGUAAAGCGUGCGCAGGCGGCUUUGCAAGACAGAUGUGAAAUCCCCGGGCUUAACCUGGGAACUGCAUUUGUGACUGCAUGGCUGGAGUGCGGCAGAGGGGAAUGGAAUUCCGCGUGUAGCAGUGAAAUGCGUAGAUAUGCGGAGGAACACCGAUGGCGAAGGCAAUCCCCUGGGCCUGCACUGACGCUCAGGCACGAAAGCGUGGGGAGCAAACAGG